CUCUUUACACAUCCAAUUGGGUUCACUAUGUAUGGAGCAACGUUUAGGCUGAACUUUAAAUAGGUAAGGAGGCAGCUUUAGGCUAAACUGAAUUUAACAUGAGAAUAAUAUUAAGGUCUAGAGAAUGUUUAGACUGUCGAUGGUACUGCCGCUCACUGACAGCCUAAAUGGGCUGGGCUUGUCCCCUGAAAGAUAAAACAAGGGAAACCAGCUCCCUAAAUUAAAGGCAUAAAUCGUUGUCCAAUCCCAAAACCAAGACACCAUGGAGUGUUGAUAGAUUUUUUCCAGGUAUCAUCGCUGCGAUUCUACCUGUAAAAGAACACCUUGAGAAGACGCCAUUCAUCACUCUGUCUGGGGGAAAAAGUCAAACAUUCCUCAUCAAGGCCUCGGAAGAAACCAAAGAAACCAAAAAAACACCAAGGGAGAAAAUGUCCACUGAAACACGUGCCUGCCUGGGUGUGAGGAUAUCCUAUGACAGUCACUGUCGCUCAGGCAGGGAUCUCAUCAAAUAACCAGGAACUAUCAACCAUUGGAGAAGAGAAGAGACUGGGAGUUACCCCAUGCCCAGACAAACUUUUCAUCUAUUCUUCUGAGGGUAACCCCAGGAGAUUACCUGGGGGACUUUUUUUUGCAUAAUAAGACAACCUUUGUUCCUGUGCAGCUCCACAUCUUUUCUUCCUAUAAAGUCUGCCUCCAACAUCGUGGGUCCAUUCAAUUCUCCCUAAUGAAAGCAUUGCCUACAGUCUCCAUCUCCUCUCUUCCCCGUAAAGCUUCUGUGCCACACUGGGUUGGUGGGCAAUCCCCCUGUGAUCCACUACUCCCCUGCCCACAUCCCAACCCCACCAUACACGUUAAUAAAUGUGUGUACCUUUUCUCCUGUUAUUCUGC
rnacentral:lncRNA from 10 species